rnacentral:rRNA from 1 species
CACUCCUACGGGAGGCAGCAGUGGGGAAUUUUGGACAAUGGGCGAAAGCCUGAUCCAGCCAUGCCGCGUGCAGGAUGAAGGCCUUCGGGUUGUAAACUGCUUUUGUACGGAACGAAACGGCCUUUUCUAAUAAAGAGGGCUAAUGACGGUACCGUAAGAAUAAGCACCGGCUAACUACGUGCCAGCAGCCGCGGUAAUACGUAGGGUGCAAGCGUUAAUCGGAAUUACUGGGCGUAAAGCGUGCGCAGGCGGUUAUGUAAGACAGUUGUGAAAUCCCCGGGCUCAACCUGGGAACUGCAUCUGUGACUGCAUAGCUAGAGUACGGUAGAGGGGGAUGGAAUUCCGCGUGUAGCAGUGAAAUGCGUAGAUAUGCGGAGGAACACCGAUGGCGAAGGCAAUCCCCUGGACCUGUACUGACGCUCAUGCACGAAAGCGUGGGGAGCAAACAGGAUUAGAAACCCUUGUAGUCCCAU